rnacentral:rRNA from 1 species
UUGAACGCUGGCGGAAUGCUUUACACAUGCAAGUCGAACGGCAGCACGGGGGCAACCCUGGUGGCGAGUGGCGAACGGGUGAGUAAUGUAUCGGAACGUACCCAGUCGUGGGGGAUAACUAUCCGAAAGGAUAGCUAAUACCGCAUACGUCCUGAGGGAGAAAGCGGGGGAUCGCAAGACCUCGCGCGAUUGGAGCGGCCGAUAUCGGAUUAGCUAGUUGGUGAGGUAAAGGCUCACCAAGGCGACGAUCCGUAGCGGGUCUGAGAGGACGACCCGCCACUCUGGAACUGAGACACGGUCCAGACUCCUACGGGAGGCAGCAGUGGGGAAUUUUGGACAAUGGGGGAAACCCUGAUCCAGCCAUUCCGCGUGAGUGAAGAAGGCCUUCGGGUUGUAAAGCUCUUUCGGCAGGAACGAAACGGCGGAUACUAAUAUUAUCCGUUACUGACGGUACCUGAAGAAGAAGCACCGGCUAACUACGU